rnacentral:rRNA from 1 species
AGUGAACGCUGGCGGUAGGCCUAACACAUGCAAGUCGAACGGCAGCACAGUAAGAGCUUGCUCUUACGGGUGGCGAGUGGCGGACGGGUGAGGAAUACAUCGGAAUCUACUUUUUCGUGGGGGAUAACGUAGGGAAACUUACGCUAAUACCGCAUACGACCUACGGGUGAAAGCAGGGGAUCUUCGUACCUUGCGCGAUUGAAUGAGCCGAUGUCGGAUUAGCUAGUUGGCGGGGUAAAGGCCCACCAAGGCGACGAUCCGUAGCUGGUCUGAGAGGAUGAUCAGCCACACUGGUACUGAGACACGGUCCAGACUCCUACGGGAGGCGGCAGUGGGGAAUAUUGGACAAUGGGCGCAAGCCUGAUCCAGCCAUACCGCGUGGGUGAAGAAGGCCUUCGGGUUGUAAAGCCCUUUUGUUGGGAAAGAAAAGCAGCAGGUUAAUACCCCGCUGUUCUGACGGUACCCAAAGAAUAAGCACCGGCUAACUUCGUG